UACGAAGGGUGCAAGCGUUACUCGGAAUUACUGGGCGUAAAGCGUGCGUAGGCGGUUUGUUAAGUCUGUCGUGAAAGCCCUGGGCUCAACCUGGGAAUUGCGAUGGAGACUGCAAGGCUGGAGUCUGGCAGAGGGGGGUAGAAUUCCACGUGUAGCAGUGAAAUGCGUAGAGAUGUGGAGGAACACCGAUGGCGAAGGCAGCCCCCUGGGUCAAGACUGACGCUCAUGCACGAAAGCGUGGGGAGCAAACAGG
rnacentral:rRNA from 1 species